rnacentral:rRNA from 1 species
AUUGAACGCUGGCGGCAUGCCUUACACAUGCAAGUCGAACGGCAGCACGGGUGCUUGCACCUGGUGGCGAGUGGCGAACGGGUGAGUAAUACAUCGGAACAUGUCCUGUAGUGGGGGAUAGCCCGGCGAAAGCCGGAUUACUACCGCAUACGAUCUACGGACGAAAGCGGGGGACCUUCGGGCCUCGCGCUAUAGGGUUGGCCGAUGGCUGAUUAACUAGUUGGUGGGGUAAAGGCCUACCAAGGCGACGGUCAGUAUCUGGUCUGAGAGGACGACCAGCCACACUGGGACUGAGACACGGCCCAGACUCCUACGGGAGGCAGCAGUGGGGAAUUUUGGACAAUGGGCGAAAGCCUGAUCCAGCAAUGCCGCGUGUGUGAAGAAGGCCUUCGGGUUGUAAAGCACUUUUGUCCGGAAAGAAAUCCUUGGCCCUAAUACGGUCGGGGGAUGACGGUACCGGAAGAAUAAGCACCGGCUAACUACGUG